rnacentral:rRNA from 1 species
UACGAAGGGGGCUAGCGUUGCUCGGAAUCACUGGGCGUAAAGCGCACGUAGGCGGAUUGCUAAGUCAGGGGUGAAAUCCUGGAGCUCAACUCCAGAACUGCCUUUGAUACUGGCGAUCUUGAGUCCGGGAGAGGUGAGUGGAACUGCGAGUGUAGAGGUGAAAUUCGUAGAUAUUCGCAAGAACACCAGUGGCGAAGGCGGCUCACUGGCCCGGUACUGACGCUGAGGCACGAAAGCGUGGGGAGCAAACAGG